CGGCACGCCUUAUACAUGCAAGUCGAACGAAGUAGCAAUACUUAGUGGCAGACGGGUGAGUAACAUGUAGGUAUCUUCCCUUUGGUGAGGAAUAACACGAGGAAACUUGUGCUAAUACCUCAUAAGUCUUAACGGAGAAAGCUUUAUGCGCCGAAGGAUGAGCCUGCACUUGAUUAGUUUGUUGGUGGGGUAAUGGCCUACCAAGACUUUGAUCUAUAGCUGGUUUUAGAGGAUGAUCAGCAACACUGGGACUGAGACACGGCCCAGACUCCUACGGGAGGCAGCAGUAGGGAAUCUUGGACAAUGGGGGCAACCCUGAUCCAGCCAUGCCGCGUGAGUGAAGAAGGCCUUAGGGUCGUAAAGCUCUUUCGCCUGUGAUGAUAAUGACAGUAGCAGGUAAAGAAACCCCGG
rnacentral:rRNA from 1 species